CCUACGGGUGGCAGCAGUCGAGAAUCAUUCACAAUGGGCGAAACCCUGAUGGUGCGACGCCGCGUGGGGGAUUGAAGGUCUUCGGAUUGUAAACUCCUGUCAUGUGGGAGCAAAUUAAAAAGAUAGUACCACAAGAGGAAGAGACGGCUAACUCUGUGCCAGCAGCCGCGGUAAUACAGAGGGCGCAAGCGUUGUUCGGAAUCACUGGGCGUAAAGCGUGCGUAGGCUGUUUCGUAAGUCGUGUGUGAAAGGCGCGGGCUCAACCGGCGGACGGCACAUGAUACUGGGAGACUAGAGUAAGGGAGGGGGAAGCGGAAUUCGCGGUGUAGCAGUGAAAUGCGUAGAUAUCGGGAGGAACACUCGUGGCGAAGGCGGGUUCCUGGACAUUAACUGACGCUGAGGCACGAAGGCGAGGGGAGCGAAAGGGAUUAGAUACCCGUGUAGUC
rnacentral:rRNA from 1 species